CAAGUCGAACGCUGAGGCCCAGCUUGCUGGGUUGGAUGAGUGGCGAACGGGUGAGUAACACGUGAGUAACCUGCCCCCUUCUUUGGGAUAACGGUCGGAAACGGCUGCUAAUACCGGGUAUUCACUGUCCUUCGCAUGGGGGGUGGUGGAAAGGUUUUUUCUGGUGGGGGAUGGGCUCGCGGCCUAUCAGCUUGUUGGUGGGGUGAUGGCUUACCAAGGCUUUGACGGGUAACCGGCCUGAGAGGGUGACCGGUCACAUUGGGACUGAGAUACGGCCCAGACUCCUACGGGAGGCAGCAGUGGGGAAUAUUGCACAAUGGGCGAAAGCCUGAUGCAGCGACGCCGCGUGAGGGAUGACGGCCUUCGGGUUGUAAACCUCUUUCGCUCAUGGUCAAGCCGCAACAGUGGUUGUGGUGAGGGUAGUGGGUAAAGAAGCACCGGCUAACUACGUGCCAGCAGCCGCGGUAAUACGUAGGGUGCGAGCGUUGUCCGGAAUUAUUGGGCGUAAAGGGCUUGUAGGCGGUUUGUCGCGUCUGCCGUGAAAUCCUCUGGCUUAACUGGGGGCGUGCGGUGGGUACGGGCAGGCUUGAGUGCGGUAGGGGAGACUGGAACUCCUGGUGUAGCGGUGGAAUGCGCAGAUAUCAGGAA
rnacentral:rRNA from 1 species